GUUUCGUACUGAGGCUUUCGGGACGGCGGCGGGAAGAUGGCGGCCUCCAGGAAUGGGUUUGAAGCCGUGGAGGCAGAGGGCAGCGCAGGGUGCCGGGGAAGCUCGGGAAUGGAGGUGGUGCUUCCUUUGGAUCCUGCCGUCCCCGCCCCGCUGUGCCCUCACGGACCCACUCUUCUGUUUGUAAAGGUGACCCAAGGGAAAGAAGAAACUCGGAGGUUUUAUGCCUGUUCAGCCUGUAGAGAUAGAAAAGACUGUAAUUUUUUUCAGUGGGAAGAUGAAAAGUUGUCAGGAGCUAGACUUGCUGCCCGAGAAGCUCAUAACCGAAGAUGUCAGCCUCCCCUGUCCCGAACGCAGUGUGUGGAAAGGUACUUGAAGUUUAUUGAGUUGCCCUUGACUCAGAGAAAGUUUUGUCAAACAUGUCAGCAGUUGUUGUUACCAGAUGACUGGGGGCAACAUAGUGAGCAUCAGGUUCUGGGUAAUGUGUCCAUUACCCAGUUAAGAAGGCCCAGUCAACUCCUUUAUCCACUGGAAAACAAGAAGACAAAUGCCCAGUAUCUGUUUGCUGAUCGGAGCUGUCAGUUCUUGGUAGACUUACUUUCUGCCCUCGGAUUCAGAAGAGUACUGUGUGUUGGAACACCAAGGUUGCAUGAGCUGAUCAAGUUGACAGCAUCAGGUGACAAGAAGUCUAACAUUAAAAGCCUUUUAUUGGAUAUUGAUUUUCGGUAUUCACAGUUUUAUAUGGAAGAUAGCUUUUGCCAUUAUAAUAUGUUUAACCAUCAUUUCUUUGAUGGAAAGACUGCCCUUGAAGUAUGCAGAGCAUUUUUACAGGAAGAUAAAGGCGAAGGAAUCAUUAUGGUGACGGAUCCUCCGUUUGGUGGCUUGGUUGAACCUCUGGCUAUUACAUUCAAGAAGUUAAUUGCUAUGUGGAAAGAAGGUCAAAGCCAAGAUGACAGUCACAAAGAACUACCCAUUUUCUGGAUUUUCCCCUAUUUUUUUGAAUCCCGAAUUUGUCAGUUUUUUCCAAGCUUCCAGAUGCUGGAUUACCAGGCUAUUCCCUUCUUUUUGGACUACAGGUUGUUUUUACCUUUUAAGGUAGAUUAUGAUAAUCAUGCACUUUAUAAACACGGAAAGACAGGUCGAAAACAGUCUCCCGUGCGUAUUUUCACCAACAUUCCGCCCAACAAAAUAAUCCUUCCUACUGAAGAAGGGUACAGAUUUUGCUCUCCGUGUCAACGGUAUGUUUCUCUAGAGAAUCAACACUGUGAGCUCUGUAAUUCUUGCACAUCCAAGGAUGGCAGGAAAUGGAACCAUUGCUUUCUCUGUAAAAAGUGUGUAAAGCCUUCCUGGAUCCACUGUAGCAUCUGCAAUCACUGUGCUGUUCCAGAUCAUUCUUGUGAGGGCCCCAAACAUGGCUGCUUUAUUUGUGGUGAACUGGAUCAUAAACGCAGUACUUGUCCUAACAUUGCUACAUCUAAGAGAGCUAACAAGUCAGUCGAAUACUUUACUAGAAAAAUGUAUUCCAUCUGUGUUUUAUACAGGAUAAUCCACAAAAGCAUGCAACAUUCAGAGGAUCUUGAAGUGCCAAGUUAAUUGUCACUUUCACUAUUAAGUACUGGCUGCAUAGAUGGAUGGAGGGAGGAGAGGAAGAUGAUUCAAAGAGCUUGCUUUCAAAGAGCUUACAGUUCUACAGCUUAGAGAUGAAAAUAACCAAAAUAUGAGAGCUGUCAGAAAGCAGAAGCAAAGAAAAAGUAAUAAGAUGAAAAUGGAGACCACGAAAGGACAAUCCAUGAAUCAUACAUCUGCUACAAGGAGAAAGAAAAGGAGGGAAAGAGCCCAUCAAUAUCUUGGCUCUUAAAUGUCCAGUGACUGGAGAAUAAGAAAGAUUUAUGGUCCAACCUUUGAUGCCAUUUUCUGAAAGUGCCACACUGGACUUAAAUUCAGCUGCUUCCAGAGGUGUGCACCUUUCUGAGCUAGAUAACAGGCAGGUGGCAUUUGCUGGUUUACAGUCCCUUAUCUGCCUCUCUGGAGACAUGGGGAGUUGUUCCAUCUUCAGCCAGUUUACUAGUUCUUUCAGCAUUCAUUUUUCCUCACUUUAAGUCUCUCCCAGUCACAUUGUUCUAUUUUUAUGUUUUCAUUUUUUUUGAGAUGGAGUCUUGCUCUGUCUCCCAGGCUAGAGUGCAAUGGCACAACCUCAGCUCACUGCAACCUCUGCCUCCCGGGUUCAAGCAAUUCUCCUGCCUUAGCCUCCUGAGUAGCUGGAAUUAUAGGCACAUGCCACCACGACUGGCUAAUUUUUGUAUUUUUAGUAGAGACGGGGUUUCACCAUGUUGGCCAGGCUGGUCUCGAACUCCUGGCCUCAAGUGAUUUGCCUGCCUUGGCCUCCCAAAGUGCUGGGAUUACAGGCAUGAGCCACCUCACCCAGCUCCGGUCACAUUAUUCUAGCCUUUUUAUCCAAAAAAUGGGCAGACCAUUCUUUUGCAGAAGAUGUCAGAAGAAAAUGAAAGUGAAAACCUAUGCAGUUUGUUUACCGUGAACAUAAAAGUAUGUUAAUUUAAAUAGGAAAAUAUUUUAUGUUAAAUAUGAAACAAUAGUUUAAACCCCACUUGAAAAGUAUAGCGUACAAUUAUUUUUAGACUGAAUUUGAAGAUGAUGGAAAGGGUUUUUACAAAGGCACUGUUUAGAUAUACAGAUUAUAAUUAUAAUUACAUUAUUAUUAAAUAUUUAUUCUUCAAGUACUUUUUGCAGUUGUCCUCUGACGGUCUAGAAUCACUUAAAUGCUUGUUGAAUGAGUGAGAUGUUUAGAACUACGACUUGCUCUGUCAUUCCAGUGUCGUUUAACCUAUGCAGUAAGAUUCUGUCUUUGUAAAAGUAGUUCGUAGCAGAAGCCAGGAUAGUUUGGUAAUUAAACGCCCAAACUAAACUCCUCAUUCCUACCCUUAAUAUUUCCUGGCUGUAUGAUCUUGGCCAGGUCACUCUCUAAAAGCCCCGGUUUCUUCAUUAUUAUCAUUAUUAUAAUGGGGAGAAUAACAGCUAUACCUGAGGUUUGUUUUGUGAUUAAAUUAAAUGAGACCCAA